rnacentral:rRNA from 1 species
GACGAACGCUGGCGGCGUGCUUAACACAUGCAAGUCGAACGGAAAGGCCCUGCUUUUGUGGGGUGCUCGAGUGGCGAACGGGUGAGUAACUCGUGAGUAACCUGCCCUUGACUUUGGGAUAACUUCAGGAAACUGGGGCUAAUACCGGAUAGGAGCUCCUGCUGCAUGGUGGGGGUUGGAAAGUUUCGGCGGUUGGGGAUGGACUCGCGGCUUAUCAGCUUGUUGGUGGGGUAGUGGCUUACCAAGGCUUUGACGGGUAGCCGGCCUGAGAGGGUGACCGGCCACAUUGGGACUGAGAUACGGCCCAGACUCCUACGGGAGGCAGCAGUGGGGAAUAUUGCACAAUGGGCGGAAGCCUGAUGCAGCAACGCCGCGUGCGGGAUGACGGCCUUCGGGUUGUAAACCGCUUUCGCCUGUGACGAAGCGUGAGUGACGGUAAUGGGUAAAGAAGCACCGGCUAACUACGUGCCAGCAGCCGCGGUGAUACGUAGGGUGCGAGCGUUGUCCGGAUUUAUUGGGCGUAAAGGGCUCGUAGGUGGUUGAUCGCGUCGGAAGUGUAAUCUUGGGGCUUAACCCUGAGCGUGCUUUCGAUACGGGUUGACUUGAGGAAGGUAGGGGAGAAUGGAAUUCCUGGUGGAGCGGUGGAAUGCGCAGAUAUCAGGAGGAACACCAGUGGCGAAGGCGGUUCUCUGGGCCUUUCCUGACGCUGAGGAGCGAAAGCGUGGGGAGCGAACAGGCUUAGAUACCCUGGUAGUCCACGCUGUAAACGGUGGGUACUAGGUGUGGGGUCCAUUCCACGGGUUCCGUGCCGUAGCUAACGCUUUAAGUACCCCGCCUGGGGAGUACGGCCGCAAGGCUAAAACUCAAAGGAAUUGACGGGGCCCCGCACAAGCGGCGGAGCAUGCGGAUUAAUUCGAUGCAACGCGUAGAACCUUACCUGGGUUUGACAUGGAUCGGGAGUGCUCAGAGAUGGGUGUGCCUCUUUUGGGGUCGGUUCACAGGUGGUGCAUGGCUGUCGUCAGCUCGUGUCGUGAGAUGUUGGGUUAAGUCCCGCAACGAGCGCAACCCUUGUUCACUGUUGCCAGCACGUUAUGGUGGGGACUCAGUGGAGACCGCCGGGGUCAACUCGGAGGAAGGUGGGGAUGACGUCAAGUCAUCAUGCCCCUUAUGUCCAGGGCUUCACGCAUGCUACAAUGGCUGGUACAGAGAGUGGCGAGCCUGUGAGGGUGAGCGAAUCUCGGAAAGCCGGUCUCAGUUCGGAUUGGGGUCUGCAACUCGACCUCAUGAAGUCGGAGUCGCUAGUAAUCGCAGAUCAGCAACGCUGCGGUGAAUACGUUCCCGGG